GACGAACGCUGGCGGAGGGAGGAACACAUGCGAGUCGAACGAAGAGCGAUGGAAGCUUGCUUCUAUCAAUCUUAGUGGCGAACGGGUGAGUAACGCGUAAUCAACCUGCCCUUCAGAGGGGGACAACAGUUGGAAACGACUGCUAAUACCGCAUACGAUCUAAUCUCGGCAUCGAGGAUAGAUGAAAGGUGGCCUCUACAUGUAAGCUAUCACUGAAGGAGGGGAUUGCGUCUGAUUAGCUAGUUGGAGGGGUAACGGCCCACCAAGGCGAUGAUCAGUAGCCGGUCUGAGAGGAUGAACGGCCACAUUGGGACUGAGACACGGCCCAGACUCCUACGGGAGGCAGCAGUGGGGAAUCUUCCGCAAUGGACGAAAGUCUGACGGAGCAACGCCGCGUGAGUGAUGACGGCCUUCGGGUUGUAAAGCUCUGUUAAUCGGGACGAAAGGCCUUCUUGCGAAUAGUGAGAAGGAUUGACGGUACCGGAAUAGAAAGCCCCGGCUCCCUACGUU
rnacentral:rRNA from 1 species